CUUUCUCUGACGGGACGUUCCCGGUCUCAACGACUCGACGCCUCCGACGAGGAAGCCGGGCACCCGGGAGCGGGAAGGUGGGAGCGGAGGGACCCUCCGAGAAUCCUCCUCCUCCUCCUCCGACCAGCUGGAAGAAGCACCAGGAGCACAGCAAGAGACAGAAAGGCGACAGGGUUGUUUUGCAAACGACCGUCAGCGAGCAAGCAAAUACCCGACACUCUUCUUCAUCCUCAUCAUCUUCUUCUUCCAGCCGUGGCAUGGCUCCAAAUAAUCACCUGAGUUCAGGAGCGCUUAACGACGCAGCAGGAGACAGUUAACACCAGUAGGUUCACCUUCUGGUCCUCCCUCGUUCCCCGCCCCAUUUGCCGCUUUUUUAAAAAAAAUAAAAAUCAGCAACCACGAAAGGAAAAAGUAGUUUGGAAUUAGAGUUUUCGGACGUGAAUGGAAAAGGACAUGUGACCCGGAAUGAAGGAGGAAAGGUUACAGGCUACCUGACAAAGUUAGAUGUGGCAACCAGUUACUGGAAAAUUAAAUGCUUGUUUAUCAGCAGAUUUAAUUGCUGGUGAAAGAUACGGGCUUGACAAUUGCAGCAGUUGCACCUUCUGCAUCCGUUCAAAGCGUGCGGGGAGAUGGGGGUUAAUGAAGGUAGUGACAGUGCAAGCUUUCCUUUACUUCCCUGUCCAUCUAUUGCAGCCUUUUUCUGAAAGUGACAGAAGGUACGGAAGCCCUCUCCUUCUGUAACCUGCAUCCCAACUACUACUGCCCGUUUCUGUGGUCAUUUCUAGGAUGUGGGCAUUUGCCCUCUGCCAAUAAGACUGCAACAAAACUCAUUUUGCACAGUCCAUUGAAGAUGUGGGAUGGGCGUAAGCUUCAUUCCUUGCUGCACUGUGGAAACAGAUUAGAGCUGGCACCAGUGAAAAGCAGGGUAUCAUGUUCCCAAUCCUCUUAGCCAAUCAGAUCUCUUUAGCAAAUAAUGGGUUUGGAGAUGAAGGGAAGGCAGAAUGAUGUUUAUGAACAGAUCUUGAGUGUGGGAUGGAGAUGCUUGCAGAUAUUAAGAACCUGAUUUUGCAAUACUCGCUUCAUCCAGGGAGGCUCUUUUGACUCCAAUAAAAUGGUUCAGCAUCUCAUUCAGAGCAUUUGAAGAAAACUGUCAGUGAAACACAGUUGUUGAGGGGAUGCUCUUACUUCAACAAGGAUGAAGAGAAGUUUGAGAAUAGUGUAUGUAUGUAUGUACUACACAUUAAGAGAAUCCGAAUGGUACUUUGUAAAAGCAUGGUUUGUAAAUCAUGUUAGAGUAAAUAAGAAUUAAGUUUCCAAUUAUGUGAACUUGCUUAGCUUUAUUAUCCUGAAGAGCAAAUUAACUGAGAGAGUUAACAAAAUCAAUUUUUGAAUUGUGUAAUGUUUCUGUUUUCAUAUACAAUCUUUUAAACUGAACACAAACUACCUGUUGAGACUUCAAUCCCAAAAAACAUUGUAGCACAUUUUGGAAACACCUGCCUGAUAGACUUGCAGAGAGUGUAAGGAUGCUAAAUAAGUGUGUUUUCACAAAUGUGAUUCAAUACUGGGAUUUCUGCUUAUUGGGUAUCACUGUCUACAUAGUUUGAUAUUCUUAUUAUCAAGUCUCUGUGCAACCUGGCAAACUUUCUCAUUU